UACGUAGGGGGCCAGCGUUGUCCGGACUUACUGGGCGUAAAGCGCGCGCAGGUGGACAUGUAUGUGCCGUGUGAAAGCGCCGUCCUUACGAUGGCGAGGUCGUGGUAGACAGCAUGUCUAGAGGCUCGAAGAGGUCGAUGGAAUUCCGGGUGGAGCGGUGAAAUGCGUUGAUAUCUACAGGAACUCCGGUGGCGAAAGCGGCGUGCUGGACCUUUCUGACGCUGAGGCGCGAAAGCUAGGGGAGCAACGGG
rnacentral:rRNA from 1 species